AUACUUACCUGGACGGGGUCGACGGCCGAUCAAGAAGGGCCGUGGCCUAGAUCAAUGGCUUACAUUGCACUUGGUGAGCGCGUUGGUUUACCAUCUCCCCAAGUGGGAGAGUGGACGUCAUAAUUUGUGAUAGAGGGGGUACGCGUUCGCGCGGCCCCUG
rnacentral:snRNA from 1 species